rnacentral:tRNA from 1 species
GGUGCGAUAGCUCAGUUGGUAGAGCAAAGGACUGAAAAUCCUUGUGUCGGGGGUUCAAAUCCCUCUCGCACCACCA